UCGCGGCGGUGCGCGCAGAAGGGUCUGGGCUCGAGCCUGCCUGGAGCCGCCGCCGGUGCAGAUCUUGGUGGUAGUAGCAAAUACUCCAGCGAGGCCCUGGAGGACUGAUGUGGAGAAGGGUUUCGUGUGAACAGCCGUUGCACACGAGUCAGUCGAUCCUAAGCCCUAGGAGAAAUCCGAUGCAAACGGCGAUGGGAAACGUUCGAUCGAAAGACAGAAGCCCACUGAUCGGGCGAAAGGGAAUCCGGUUCCUAUUCCGGAACCCGGCAGCGGAACCGUUGUUUGUCGGGCCCUCACAAGGGGUUCGUCAGGGCAACCUAAAAGGGCCCGGAAACCCCGUCGGG
rnacentral:rRNA from 1 species